UGGGGAAUAUUGCACAAUGGGCGAAAGCCUGAUGCAGCAACGCCGCGUGAGUGAAGAAGGUUUUCGGAUCGUAAAACUCUGUCUUUUGGGGCGAACGUGAGUAUGGUGAACAAUCAUAGUCAGUGACGAUACCAAAGGAGGAAGCCACGGCUAACUACGUGCCAGCAGCCGCGGUAAUACGUAGGUGGCAAGCGUUGUCCGGAAUUAUUGGGCGUAAAGAGCGCGUAGGCGGGAUAGUCAGUCUGUUGUAAAAGUGCGGGGCUCAACCCCGUGAUCGCAAUGGAAACAGCUAUUCUUGAGUGCAGGAGAGGAAAGUGGAAUUCCCAGUGUAGCGGUGAAAUGCGUAGAUAUUGGGAGGAACACCAGUGGCGAAGGCGACUUUCUGGACUGUGUCUGACGCUGAGGCGCGAAAGCCAGGGGAGCGAACGGGAUUAGAUACCCCGGUAGUCCUGGCCGUAAACGAUGGGUACUAGGUGUGGGAGGUAUCGACCCCCUUCCGUGCCGGAGUUAACGCAAUAAGUACCCCGCCUGGGGAGUACGGUCGCAAGACUGAAACUCAAAUGAAUUGACGGGGUCAUAGCUG
rnacentral:rRNA from 1 species